rnacentral:rRNA from 2 species
CCAACAGGGAUUGCCUCAGUAACGGCGAGUGAAGCGGCAACAGCUCAAAUUUGAAAUCUGGCCCUUUCAGGGUCCGAGUUGUAAUUUGUAGAAGAUGCUUCGGGUGUGGCUCCGGUCUAAGUUCCUUGGAACAGGACGUCAUAGAGGGUGAGAAUCCCGUCUGUGACCGGUCGCCUUCGCCCAUGUGAAGCUCUUUCGACGAGUCGAGUUGUUUGGGAAUGCAGCUCAAAAUGGGUGGUAAAUUUCAUCUAAAGCUAAAUAUUGGCCAGAGACCGAUAGCGCACAAGUAGAGUGAUCGAAAGAUGAAAAGCACUUUGGAAAGAGAGUUAAACAGUACGUGAAAUUGUUGAAAGGGAAGCGCUUGCAACCAGACUUGCGCGCGGUCGAUCAUCCGGUGUUCUCACCGGUGCACUCGGCCGCGCUCAGGCCAGCAUCGGUCUGGGUGGUUGGAUAAAGGCCUGGGGAAUGUGGCUCCUCUCGGGGAGUGUUAUAGCCCCAGGUGCAAUGCAGCCUACCUGGACCGAGGACCGCGCUUCGGCUAGGAUGCUGGCGUAAUGGUUGUAAGCGGCCC